AAAAUUCCAAAUUCAAAUCUUCAUAUUAACUGUAAGUUUAAAUGCUGAUUAUAAAUGUAACAGAGAGCUUAGAGAAGUUGCGUUGAUAUUCAAACAUGGCCAUGGCGAAACUGAAUCAGCGAAAGCGGGGAAAUCGAUAACUUUAUUGGCUAAAGCAUCCGUUUCCGCCUAUAUGCCAUCGCGUGAUGCCAAUUAACCAAUAAGAACACGAAAAUGCAAUUAGUAUAUGGCCUUUCAAAACUCGAUGGUUAUGGUUUCCGCUUCAAAUAAGAGAUUGCUGGAAGAAAGAGCGAGAAGAGCGGAGACCGAACGGAAAUUAUUAUUAAUCGAAGAAAUACGCUGCCGACCAGCCAUAUGGAAUCGACGCUUAACACUUCACAAAGAUAAAGUGCUGGAAAAGAUGUGGAACCAUAGAGAUAGUAUAGUACAAUUAGAGAGCGCAUACCCCGUCUAACGUUGAGGAAACCGGCGCCAUAUUGG
rnacentral:lncRNA from 1 species